rnacentral:tRNA from 1 species
AAUAGCGUGCUUGAUAAAAAAGGUUGUCUUGAUAGGACAAAUAAUGAGAGAAACUUCUCCGCUGUUA